rnacentral:rRNA from 1 species
GUGAACGCUGGCGGUAGGCCUAACACAUGCAAGUCGAACGGCAGCACAGUAAGAGCUUGCUCUUACGGGUGGCGAGUGGCGGACGGGUGAGGAAUACAUCGGAAUCUACUUUUUCGUGGGGGAUAACGUAGGGAAACUUACGCUAAUACCGCAUACGACCUACGGGUGAAAGCAGGGGAUCUUCGGACCUUGCGCGAUUGAAUGAGCCGAUGUCGGAUUAGCUAGUUGGCGGGGUAAAGGCCCACCAAGGCGACGAUCCAUAGCUGGUCUGAGAGGAUGAUCAGCCACACUGGAACUGAGACACGGUCCAGACUCCUACGGGAGGCAGCAGUGGGGAAUAUUGGACAAUGGGCGCAAGCCUGAUCCAGCCAUACCGCGUGGGUGAAGAAGGCCUUCGGGUUGUAAAGCCCUUUUGUUGGGAAAGAAAAGCAGCAGGUUAAUACCCCGCUGUUCUGACGGUACCCAAAGAAUAAGCACCGGCUAACUUCGUG